GACGAACGCUGGCGGCGUGCCUAAUACAUGCAAGUUGAGCGCUGAAGGUUGGUACUUGUACCAACUGGAUGAGCAGCGAACGGGUGAGUAACGCGUGGGGAAUCUGCCUUUGAGCGGGGGACAACAUUUGGAAACGAAUGCUAAUACCGCAUAAAAACUUUAAACACAAGUUUUAAGUUUGAAAGAUGCAAUUGCAUCACUCAAAGAUGAUCCCGCGUUGUAUUAGCUAGUUGGUGAGGUAAAGGCUCACCAAGGCGAUGAUACAUAGCCGACCUGAGAGGGUGAUCGGCCACAUUGGGACUGAGACACGGCCCAAACUCCUACGGGAGGCAGCAGUAGGGAAUCUUCGGCAAUGGACGAAAGUCUGACCGAGCAACGCCGCGUGAGUGAAGAAGGUUUUCGGAUCGUAAAACUCUGUUGGUAGAGAAGAACGUUGGUGAGAGUGAAAAGCUCAUCAAGUGACGGUAACUACCCAGAAAGGGACGGCUAACUGCGUG
rnacentral:rRNA from 1 species